rnacentral:tRNA from 15 species
GCAGGUGUCGUACAACGGCUAGUACAUCAGCCUUCCAAGCUGAGGACGUGGGUUCGACUCCCAUCACCUGCUCCA